UGGUCAGAACAACCAGGGCCUCUUCGGUGGCUCCGCCGGUCUCAUCGGCCUCGGCCGCCACCCCAUCUCUUUCGUCCAACAAACCGCCUCAAAGUAUGGCAAGAUCUUCUCCUACUGCCUCCCUUCCACCUCUAGCUCCACCGGCCACCUCACCUUCGGCCGCGCCACCUCCCGCCACCUUCUCUACACCCCCUUCUCCACCAUUUCCCGUAGCUCCUCCUUCUAUGGUCUCGACAUCGCUUCCAUCGCUGUCUCUGGUGCCAAACUCUCUCUCACUCCCGCCCUCUUUUCCACUGGCGGCGCCAUCAUCGACUCCGGCACCGUCAUUACACGCCUCCCUCCCA
rnacentral:lncRNA from 1 species